UACGUAGGGUGCGAGCGUUGUCCGGAUUUAUUGGGCGUAAAGAGCUCGUAGGCGGUUUGUCGCGUCGGCCGUGAAAUCUCCACGCUUAACGUGGAGCGUGCGGUCGAUACGGGCAGACUUGAGUUCGGUAGGGGAGACUGGAAUUCCUGGUGUAGCGGUGAAAUGCGCAGAUAUCAGGAGGAACACCGGUGGCGAAGGCGGGUCUCUGGGCCGAUACUGACGCUGAGGAGCGAAAGCGUGGGGAGCAAACAGG
rnacentral:rRNA from 1 species